UGGCUCAGUGAGGCGUCCGGACUGGCCCAGGGAGGUGGGCAACUACCACCCAGGGCCGGAAAGCUCUCCAAACUCGGUCAUUUAGAGGAAGUAAAAGUCGUAACAAGGUCUCCGUUGGUGAACCAGCGGAGGGAUCAUUACCGAGUUAUCCAACUCCCAACCCCUGUGAAUUAUACCUUUAAUUGUUGCUUCGGCGGGACUUCGCGCCCGCCGGGGACCCAAACCUUCUGAAUUUUUUAAUAAGUAUCUUCUGAGUGGUUAAAAAAAUGAAUCAAAACUUUCAACAACGGAUCUCUUGGUUCUGGCAUCGAUGAAGAACGCAGCGAAAUGCGAUAAGUAAUGUGAAUUGCAGAAUUCAGUGAAUCAUCGAAUCUUUGAACGCACAUUGCGCCCGUCAGUAUUCUGGCGGGCAUGCCUGUUCGAGCGUCAUUACGCCCCUCAAGUCCCCUGUGGACUUGGUGUUGGGGAUCGGCGAGGCUGGUUUUCCAGCACAGCCGUCCCUUAAAUUAAUUGGCGGUCUCGCCGUGGCCCUCCUCUGCGCAGUAGUAAAACACUCGCAACAGGAGCCCGGCGCGGUCCACUGCCGUAAAACCCCCCAACUUUUUAUAGUUGACCUCGAAUCAGGUAGGACUACCCGCUGAACUUAAGCAUAUCAAUAAGCGGAGGAAAAGAAACCAACAGGGU
rnacentral:rRNA from 1 species